rnacentral:rRNA from 1 species
UACGUAGGUGGCAAGCGUUGUCCGGAUUUAUUGGGUUUAAAGGGUGCGUAGGCGGCCCUGUAAGUCAGUUGUGAAAUACGGCAGCUUAACUGUCGAGGUGCAAUUGAUACUGCAGGGCUUGAGUACUGAUGAGGUAGGCGGAAUGGACGGUGUAGCGGUGAAAUGCGUAGAUAUCGGGAGGAACACCAGUGGCGAAGGCGACUUCCUGGCCUGUUCUUGACGCUGAGGCGCGAAAGCUAGGGUAGCAAACGGG